GCCGUAUACCGGGGGAUAACACUUAGAAAUAGGUGCUAAUACCGCAUAAGCGCACAGCUUCGCAUGAAGCAGUGUGAAAAACUCCGGUGGUAUACGAUGGUUCCGCGUCUGAUUAGCUAGUUGGCGGGGUAACGGCCCACCAAGGCAGCGAUCAGUAGCCGGCCUGAGAGGGUGAACGGCCACAUUGGGACUGAGACACGGCCCAAACUCCUACGGGAGGCAGCAGUGGGGAAUAUUGCACAAUGGGGGAAACCCUGAUGCAGCGACGCCGCGUGAGUGAAGAAGUAUUUCGGUACGUAAAGCUCUAUCAGCAGGGAAGAAAAUGACGGUACCUGACUAAGAAGCCCCGGCUAACUACGUGCCAGCAGCCGCGGUAAUACGUAGGGGGCAAGCGUUAUCCGGAUUUACUGGGUGUAAAGGGAGCGUAGACGGCAGCGCAAGUCUGGAGUGAAAUGCCGGGGCUCAACCCCGGAACUGCUUUGGAAACUGUGCAGCUUGAGUGCGGGAGAGGUAAGUGGAAUUCCUAGUGUAGCGGUGAAAUGCGUAGAUAUUAAGAGGAACACCAGUGGCGAAGGCGGCUUACUGGACCGUAACUGACGUUGAGGCUCGAAAGCGUGGGGAGCAAACAGGAUUAGAUACCCUGGUAGUCCACGCCGUAAACGAUGAUUACUAGGUGUCGGGGGACCAAGGUCCUCCGGUGCCGGCGCAAACGCAUUAAGUAAUCCACCUGGGGAGUACGUUCGCAAGAAUGAAACUCAAAGGAAUUGACGG
rnacentral:rRNA from 1 species